GGCAAAGUCCCGAUUAUACAAACAUGACGUUCAACAACGGAUUUGCCGUUUUCGUUACUCUUUUGGUGGCUGUUCUCCUAGCGGCGCCGCAGGUGGACGCUGCCGAACUCGUGAGCUUAUUCACCGACCUGGCGACGAAGGUGAUUGGGCGCCAGAAUGAACCUGAAGCCAAACCACAGCAGUGAAGAAACAC